GCAGGGGUAGCCAAGUGGUUAAGGCGUGGGACUGCAGAUCCCAUAUUCGCGGGUUCAAAUCCCGCCCCCUGCU
rnacentral:tRNA from 1 species